rnacentral:rRNA from 1 species
UACGUAGGGGCUAGCGUUGUCCGGAAUCAUUGGGCGUAAAGCGCGCGUAGGCGGCCCGGUAAGUCCGCUGUAAAAGUCAAAGGCUCAACCUUUGAAUGUCAGUGGAUACUGCCGGGCUAGAGUCCGGAAGAGGCGAGUGGAACUCCUGGUGUAGCGGUGGAAUGCGCAGAUAUCAGGAAGAACACCGACGGCGAAGGCAGCUCGCUGGGAUGGUACUGACGUGAGGCGCGAAAGCGUGGGGAGCGAACGG